UCCCUAGUGGCUCAGAUGGUAAAGAGUCUGCUUGCAAUGCAGGAGACCUGAGUUCGAUCCUUGGAUCGGGAA
rnacentral:tRNA from 1 species